UCGGUCCGCUCGGGCGGGUCCCGGACAACCGGCGAAACCCGUCGGCGUCGGACGCGUACGGCGCGCGUUCGGGAAAAAAAAAAACCCGACCGGAUAUCGCGGCCGCGCGUUUCGCUCGUUUUGCACAGAGAAUGGACGCAGUUUAUUUUUAUUGGACAGAUCAUUUGAUAUUGGUUACCUGUCAUUAUUAAACAUUGAUACGUCCGAGUAACGCGAAUGGUUCGGUUAUUGUUUAUUUAUCCGAAAUGCAUCGACACGAGAUAUUAUUUUAAAAAUCGGUUUGAACGUUUGGAAUAUUAUUAACACUAUUUGUCUCGGUUUCAUUGCGUGCGCAGCUCCUCUAAAACCGAAUUAAUGUAAAUGUUAUUUCGGGCAUUUAUUAUUUCCAUGUCCGUAAUUAUAUCAAAGGCCUAUAUUACGGUUAUUCACUAAAACAUGGUUAGCGAAAUUUGAAUUACGGGCGGUCAUUUUUCAAAUUUUAUUUCGGAAAUUUAUUCGUUAUAUCCUAUUUUAAAAUUCCCAAAAGCGAUUUUCGCGUUAUUUGUAUUUUUGUUCGGAAUUUUAGCGAAUUCGUU